UUAUAAUCUGGCACCUUCGGUGUCCGAGUUGUAAUCUCUAGAAGUGUUUUCCGCGUUGGACCGCACACAAGUCUGUUGGAAUACAGCGGCAUAGUGGUGAAACCCCCGUAUAUGGUGCGGACGCCCAGCGCUUUGUGAUACACUUUCAAUGAGUCGAGUUGUUUGGGAAUGCAGCUCAAAUUGGGUGGUAAAUUCCAUCUAAAGCUAAAUAUUGGCGAGAGACCGAUAGCGAACAAGUACCGUGAGGGAAAGAUGAAAAGCACUUUGGAAAGAGAGUUAACAGUACGUGAAAUUGUUGGAAGGGAAACGCUUGAAGUCAGACUUGCUUGCCGGAGCUUGCUUCGGUUUGCAGGCCAGCAUCAGUUUUCCGGGGUGGAUAAUGACGGUUUGAAGGUAGCAGUCUCGGCUGUGUUAUAGCUUUCCGUUGGAUACGCCCUGGGGGACUGAGGAACGCAGCGUGCUUUUUGCGAAAGACU
rnacentral:rRNA from 1 species